GAAUGAUCUGAAAAUAAGUAAAGUUUGGUUUUUAUAUUUAUAUAUAUAUUUAUUGGAAAGAGUAGUGCGAAUAUUUUGUAGAAUUCAUGAUGGAUAUAUCAAAGGUACCGCGAUUGUACGUGAAACGAUCGACCGAUCAUCGAGAGAAACACAGUGGACCCUGAAGAAAAACGUGAUAUCGCGUGUGAAGAUAGAAAGUCUGAAGAACAUUGAAAAAUUCAUGAAACAAAAGUUCUUAUGCGUCAACGACGGGGAAGAAUGCCGAUCUUCUAGAAUGUAAAGUGACAUGAAGAUGACGAUAAUAAAGAGAAGCAGUGCUAAAGCUUGGCUGCUCUUGCUGCUGUUGCUGAUUCACGAUGGCAGGUGCAUCAAGUGGCUAGCUCUUGGCCGUACCGAAGAUGGGUAUACAUGGACAAGGGAGGCUUGCACAAGCGCGAAAAAUUCUGGGCUUUUGGAGAGAAAGCAGGCAAGAGCGUGCAGAGCUACGCCAGAUGUAAUGCCCAGCUUGGUACAAGCGGCGAGGGAUACUUCAACAGUAUGUCAGCAAACAUUUCGACACCGGAGAUGGAAUUGUAGUAGCAUCGAGCGUGCACCAGAUUAUACGCCUGAAUUACUUACUGGAACCAGGGAACAAGCAUUCGUGUAUGCAAUGUCAGCAGCAGCUGCAGUUUGGAGGUUAGCGAGAGGAUGCGCUCUGGGCAGCCUUGCGGCGUGUUCCUGUGCCACACCACCACGAAGAGAGCCUCCAUCACCCUCUGCCUUGAUCUCACCUUCAUCUUUCACCGCGACAUCUGUCUCGUUUGGAACAUUGUCCGCCAGAAACUCUUUCAAAUGGGGCGGUUGCGGCGAUGACGUUAGAUCGGCGUCCAGAAUGGCCAAGAGGUUCCUCCAAGGCGCGACGCCUCCAGGCACAGGUGCAACCGCGAAGUUUAUGCACGCUGUUAACAUGCACAACAACCGAGCGGGUCGAAGGGCAGUGGAACAAUCCUUGACUCUUGAAUGCAAGUGUCACGGGGUGUCUGGAUCGUGCAGUGUACGUACCUGUUGGAGAGGGCUUGGUUCUUCAGGGCCGGCAGCAGCAGGAAGUCGUUUGCUUCGAAGAUAUGCGACUGCAGCAGAAGUACGACCAAGGUCAGGAGGCAGAUUACCACCCUUGUAUCAUCACGAUAAUCUAUUAUAUACCACAAAAAGUCCAGACUAUUGUCUCCCCGACAAGAAGAGGGGAAGUCUUGGAACUGUUGGCAGACAAUGUAACGGGAGCAGUACCGGAUACGAAGGUUGCGAGUAUCUGUGUUGCAGCCGGGGACACGUGACGAGAACGGAAGAGGUUUUAGAGAGAUGCGAUUGCAAAUAUAUCAGUUGUUGUUACGUAAAGUGUAAAACGUGCAGAAAAGUUAUGAAAACGUACGAGUGCAAAUGAAUAAAAAUGAAGGGGAUUCCUGGAGAGAUUUUAGAAUGAAGAAAAAUUAUUAUCGAAAUUCAUCUCUCCAUCGCUUUUUAACCAUAUUGGGAUUCCCCGUAAGCGAUAAAAUUCUCCCUUCCGUUUUAAACGAAUAGGAAAAUUUCAAUCAAAGAGGACAGCAUAGACGGCAUGUUAGAUAUAAGAUGGCAUGGUUAGUCGCUAUGUAAAUAAUUCGCUAAAUCCGAAUUCGUAGUUUGUAUUAAAAAUCAUGUUCUAAUAAUAAAUCAUCACUUGAUAUAGA